ACACAGUUGGUGAAGAAGAAUGUGCCACCCCUGGAGCUGUAAGUACUUCCCAGAAAGCAGAAUUGUUUGUCAUGCAGUUGAUGCUGCAACGUAUGGCAGAGGAGGCCGGAUCUCAGUAAAACACUCGUCUUCUGCAAUGGUAUUUCUUGCCUGCUGUGAAAGAGAAGAACUGAUGCCUGCCAUGUAAGAAUUCAAUGUCAGGAAAGCCAAACCACCCUGUAGCUACAUGAGCAUUUUUUUCUGUUCUCUUGUUGAAGUGACAUAUGAAUACUGUGAGGUUACUCCUAUUGUGCAACUGACGCAUUGUUAUACUACAUAGCAGGAUGGAGCUGACCCUAGAAACUCCCAACACACAAUAAAUUGAGAUCCUCUCUUGGAAAUGACGCUAGCAGUAUGCAUCUCAGUAAUGAUAGCCUUUGGGCCUUGUUCUGGAGUCAUAGGGAGUUUAUGAGAUGUUAUAUUCUCCUAUUUCCUCCCUGCUGAAACUUUCCUGGGAAGGUCUUUCAGCAUCAGGAUGUGUCACUUCCAAAGGGAAGUUUGGGCAGAAUCCAUGGCAAAAAAUCAGACUACUAGGUAGGCAGGAGGAUGCAGUCUAGAGCGGGAUCUGUUCCAGGCCUGCUCUGCUGUUCUGACUUCCAUAACUAACUGUUUAAGAACCCUGAGCCCCAGAAACAGCUUUCAUUGUGCUAGUCACAUUGGUCGGCCUUUAUAUAUUACAUAUAUGUGAUGUAGACACUGCAGUCAUGCUGUUGUGUGUAGUAAACUAUCAUCCAUCUCACACGGAGAACUCAGAAUCUGUCCAGAAAAUAAUGAAUAAGUCCUAAAACCAAACCCAACAUCUUUAGACAGUGAAAACCUUUGGUAUUUAAAGUAAAAAAUGUAGCGGGCAUAGUUUGUUACAACCCAGAAUCCUGCACAAGGAAGUGGAUACCAUAGCAGUGAUUUCACAACAACAGUAGAUAAAGGAAUAAAAAGACUUUGUUUUUCUCUCAUAGACAGAAAAUCAGAAGGGUACUGUUGCUGAAAGUGAGUAAGGCAAGGAGCAAACGCACUUCUAGAUUAGUUAUGUAGAAGGAGAAUGAAGGCAACACCUUAGAAAACCACAGAGGUAGAAACAAUGGGGCUGAAUAUGAGUGCAAUAUCAAAUGGUGGGAAUGCAUUCAUUAUUGUCACAGCUAUUCUACAACAAAUGUAUAUCCAGGCAUCAUUUUUCACGUUUUAUGAGUGAGUUAUAUUUUCUUUCCCUACAUGAAGGCUACUACUAAAACAGUAAGCAGUCAACUUAGAUGAUUCAGCCAGCCUGAGGUGUGAUUUUUUUUUAAGGUUGCAAUAUUGCAAUACCUACAAAAUUGCACUGUGCCUAGAAUAACAGCUAGAACCACGGCGUAUGAAUAUCUGUAGAAUUAGACCAGAAUGCCUCAGUUUAACACAACAAUCCCAAUAUGCUGAAAAAAUGCCUACGGCUACAUUGAGCCAGUCUGUCUAUGGCUUGUUUCAAAGAGGAGGAAAGAUUAAUCAGGAAUGAGAGCUUUACUGCUCCACAGAUUUAUACGGAGUCAGACUUGUUUGGAAUAGCAAAGCACCUUGAGGCAGCUGUUGGUUCUUCACAAAUCCUUCCUUCAUUCUUUCAAGAAAAUUUGAGAGACUGGCAAUGAGGAAGGGACGAAUGAAUGAUCAGAACAGAAACUGCACCAAAUCUCAUUGAAUUUUAUCCUUAAAACUGUGUGUUGCUGAGGAGCUCCACAGUCAUUAAAUGUGUGAAACUUAAGGUAUCUUUCCACAUAAGUCAACUCUCCACUAAUGCAUUUGUAAAUCAAAAUCCAGUUCCUUAUCUUCACCAGGUAUUCACAACACACAUCCACAGAACAGCCAUGAGGUCGCAGGGAUCCUACUAACGUCUGGGCUUUUGAUUUUCCUAACCACUGUGAUUGGUGACACUGACACUUCUCUUGCACAACUGAUCCAGUGGGCCAAAUUCUUUUGCCUUUCCCCUCUGAACCAAAGAAAUACAAGAGGGAUAAGUUUAUUCCCCACCCUACCUUUUCUUCUUCUUUUUUUUCUUACUUCUUUUUUCUUUUCUUUUUUUGGCUUGUAAUCUUAAGGAUCAUCAUAAGAGAGGUUUAAUAAUGCCUACAGGUUUUCACACUUCAGUGAAAGUUGACAAUGUACUCCUGAGGCAUUUUGUUCAGAAUAAGUCUAUGUGAAAAUCUCCUUUGACUACAGUAUAGAGUCAUUCUCUUAAAAUCAUCAGUUGUGGUUUUUCUUUAGUGUGUUUAUUUUGCUAUUAAAGAGGGCUCUUCGUGCAUAAAAAGUGCACUUGAUGUGUAAAAAAAAAAAUUAGAUCUUUAAUAAAGGAGCAGUUAUG
rnacentral:lncRNA from 7 species